rnacentral:rRNA from 2 species
UUAAAUUGAAGAGUUUGAUCAUGGCUCAGAUUGAACGCUGGCGGCAGGCCUAACACAUGCAAGUCGAACGGUAACAGGAAGCAGCUUGCUGCUUUGCUGACGAGUGGCGGACGGGUGAGUAAUGUCUGGGAAACUGCCUGAUGGAGGGGGAUAACUACUGGAAACGGUAGCUAAUACCGCAUAACGUCGCAAGACCAAAGAGGGGGACCUUCGGGCCUCUUGCCAUCGGAUGUGCCCAGAUGGGAUUAGCUAGUAGGUGGGGUAACGGCUCACCUAGGCGACGAUCCCUAGCUGGUCUGAGAGGAUGACCAGCCACACUGGAACUGAGACACGGUCCAGACUCCUACGGGAGGCAGCAGUGGGGAAUAUUGCACAAUGGGCGCAAGCCUGAUGCAGCCAUGCCGCGUGUAUGAAGAAGGCCUUCGGGUUGUAAAGUACUUUCAGCGGGGAGGAAGGGAGUAAAGUUAAUACCUUUGCUCAUUGACGUUACCCGCAGAAGAAGCACCGGCUAACUCCGUGCCAGCAGCCGCGGUAAUACGGAGGGUGCAAGCGUUAAUCGGAAUUACUGGGCGUAAAGCGCACGCAGGCGGUUUGUUAAGUCAGAUGUGAAAUCCCCGGGCUCAACCUGGGAACUGCAUCUGAUACUGGCAAGCUUGAGUCUCGUAGAGGGGGGUAGAAUUCCAGGUGUAGCGGUGAAAUGCGUAGAGAUCUGGAGGAAUACCGGUGGCGAAGGCGGCCCCCUGGACGAAGACUGACGCUCAGGUGCGAAAGCGUGGGGAGCAAACAGGAUUAGAUACCCUGGUAGUCCACGCCGUAAACGAUGUCGACUUGGAGGUUGUGCCCUUGAGGCGUGGCUUCCGGAGCUAACGCGUUAAGUCGACCGCCUGGGGAGUACGGCCGCAAGGUUAAAACUCAAAUGAAUUGACGGGGGCCCGCACAAGCGGUGGAGCAUGUGGUUUAAUUCGAUGCAACGCGAAGAACCUUACCUGGUCUUGACAUCCACGGAAGUUUUCAGAGAUGAGAAUGUGCCUUCGGGAACCGUGAGACAGGUGCUGCAUGGCUGUCGUCAGCUCGUGUUGUGAAAUGUUGGGUUAAGUCCCGCAACGAGCGCAACCCUUAUCCUUUGUUGCCAGCGGUCCGGCCGGGAACUCAAAGGAGACUGCCAGUGAUAAACUGGAGGAAGGUGGGGAUGACGUCAAGUCAUCAUGGCCCUUACGACCAGGGCUACACACGUGCUACAAUGGCGCAUACAAAGAGAAGCGACCUCGCGAGAGCAAGCGGACCUCAUAAAGUGCGUCGUAGUCCGGAUUGGAGUCUGCAACUCGACUCCAUGAAGUCGGAAUCGCUAGUAAUCGUGGAUCAGAAUGCCACGGUGAAUACGUUCCCGGGCCUUGUACACACCGCCCGUCACACCAUGGGAGUGGGUUGCAAAAGAAGUAGGUAGCUUAACCUUCGGGAGGGCGCUUACCACUUUGUGAUUCAUGACUGGGGUGAAGUCGUAACAAGGUAACCGUAGGGGAACCUGCGGUUGGAUCACCUCCUUACCUUAAAGAA